UACGAAGGGGGCUAGCGUUGCUCGGAAUCACUGGGCGUAAAGGGCGCGUAGGCGGAUGAUCAAGUCGGGGGUGAAAUCCUGAGGCUCAACCUCAGAACUGCCUUCGAUACUGGUCGUCUCGAGUUCGGGAGAGGUGAGUGGAACUCCGAGUGUAGAGGUGAAAUUCGUAGAUAUUCGGAAGAACACCAGUGGCGAAGGCGGCUCACUGGCCCGAUACUGACGCUGAGGCGCGAAAGCGUGGGGAGCAAAC
rnacentral:rRNA from 1 species